CUGGAGAGGAACCUGGGAGGGAGGGAAAAUGGAAGUUUGAUACGUGUAAAGGUGUAAUUGGAACAGAAUCCUUCAUCUAACGGCACACAGGGAUCUGAAAAAAAAUGCAGAUUAUCUCAUAAUUUGUGUGCUUCUACAUCAUGAUAGCGUGGUUGGAGAAGGAGGGGGAGUGGAACAGCGAGUGACAGGCAGAUGGAGCGCAGAAGAAGCAAAGAGUGACAGGGUGUGGGAGGGGCAGAGUGACUGUGACGGAAAGAGGAGGGGGAGCGGAACAGAGAAACAGAUGCAGCGAGACUAGACAUGGAGGGGGAACACUAAGGGAGCAAGCAGCAGAGGGUGGGAGACAAAAGAGAAGCUAGAGCAACCGCAGGUGGAUUGAAAGUUGGGCAUGUUUGCCUAAGGAGCCUUAAGUCAAAGUGCCGAUGGAGGAUAGAUUGAGUACCCAGAUGUUUGAAGUUGACAUCUCGCGAGAGUUCGCAUUUACCCAGGAAGACGCAUACAGUUUCGGCCAUCACGCAACAAGCUGCUCACAGGGAUUUGAUCGCUUCUUCUGGAACACUUCACUUGUAUCACGUUACUUGGAUCAUCUUCACAGAUCGAAUCAGUUGCAUCUUUCCAGGUUUUCUUUGACAGUCAACUGGACUUCACUUUCGGGUCCCCUUUGAUCUGAGGUCUGACCCCCCCACGCUCUGUGUACUUAUAGUAACAGCUGACCCCCCCAACCUCUGCCACUAAUGGUAAAUGAACAGUACUUGUGAAUUGUAAUUGUUGCUAAGUGAUGUUUGUAAUGUGUUCCAGUGUACUUUAUGAAACCUGUCUUGUAACAAUCUAAGCACCCCCUGUUGUAAAAAAAACUGUAUGAUAAAAUGUAGACCCCUAUGUUCCCAACUGCAUUUUAGGAAACUUGUGUUACAAAUACUUGUAAGUGUGUAUCUAUGUCCACUGUGUCAUGUUGUUUGAAUAAAAGAAGAACAAAGAA